AUGCAGUCGAACGAGCCGAGGGGAGCUUGCUCCCCAGAGCUAGUGGCGGACGGGUGAGUAACACGUGAGCAACCUGCCUUUCAGAGGGGGAUAACGUUUGGAAACGAACGCUAAUACCGCAUAACAUACCGGGAUCGCAUGAUUCUGGUAUCAAAGGAGCAAUCCGCUGAAAGAUGGGCUCGCGUCCGAUUAGCUAGUUGGCGGGGUAACGGCCCACCAAGGCGACGAUCGGUAGCCGGACUGAGAGGUUGAUCGGCCACAUUGGGACUGAGACACGGCCCAGACUCCUACGGGAGGCAGCAGUGGGGGAUAUUGCACAAUGGAGGAAACUCUGAUGCAGCGACGCCGCGUGAGGGAAGACGGUCUUCGGAUUGUAAACCUCUGUCUUUGGGGACGAUAAUGACGGUACCCAAGGAGGAAGCUCCGGCUAACUACGUGCCAGCAGCCGCGGUAAUACGUAGGGAGCGAGCGUUGUCCGGAAUUACUGGGUGUAAAGGGAGCGUAGGCGGGGUCUCAAGUCGAAUGUUAAAUCUACCGGCUCAACUGGUAGCUGCGUUCGAAACUGGGGCUCUUGAGUGAAGUAGAGGCAGGCGGAAUUCCUAGUGUAGCGGUGAAAUGCGUAGAUAUUAGGAGGAACACCAGUGGCGAAGGCGGCCUGCUGGGCUUUUACUGACGCUGAGGCUCGAAAGCGUGGGGAGCAAACAGGAUUAGAUACCCUGGUAGUCCACGCCGUAAACGAUGAUUACUAGGUGUGGGGGGACUGACCCCUUCCGUGCCGGAGUUAACACAAUAAGUAAUCCACCUGGGGAGUACGACCGCAAGGUUGAAACUCAAAGGAAUUGACGGGGGCCCGCACAAGCAGUGGAUUAUGU
rnacentral:rRNA from 1 species